CUCAGCGCAACCAGAAGCGCGCUGACGGCCUGCAACUCCCAUUCCAGUGGCUUCCAAUCGGUCUGUCUUCAAGCAACGUGCGGCGAUCUUCUGGAGGAAGACCACUGUCGCACCCCACGUUUUCUUAAAGGCAUGAUCACAGGUCAUGUAAAAGCUCCUAAAAAAGGCUUCUCCCCCUGCCGUGACUCUCCCUGAACGCCUCUGCCUCAAAGACUACACUUCCCAUUGACCCCUGCAGUGACUUCCCCGUCUGGCGUCAGCGGCCCUGCGACGGGCGGUAGUGACGUGUCAGAGGAGCUCGAUUUUUGCUUGUGGUCCUGGCUGGCUGUUUCUGUACCAAACUUCUUCCUUGGUUUAUCCUUGCUGCAGCUGUGGGGUUGGAUACCUGCGCCCGUAGUCCCUGUUAUGAAGUGAGUAACUCUGUUCCACCAUGUGCUCCCCACCAUGAUGUUCUGCCUCACAAAAGGCCCAAAGAGAUGGGGGUCAAGUGACCUUGUACUGAAAAUUCUGAAACCAUGAACCAAAUAAAUCUUUUCUUUAAAUGAU